CCUACGGGAGGCAGCAGUGGGGAAUAUUGGACAAUGGGGGCAACCCUGAUCCAGCCAUGCCGCGUGUGUGAAGAAGGCCCUCGGGUUGUAAAGCACUUUCAGUGAGGAAGAACGCCUGGUGGUUAAUACCCAUCAGGAAAGACAUCACUCACAGAAGAAGCACCGGCUAACUCCGUGCCAGCAGCCGCGGUAAUACGGAGGGGGCGAGCGUUAAUCGGAAUUACUGGGCGUAAAGCGCGCGUAGGUGGCUUGAUAAGCCGGUUGUGAAAGCCCCGGGCUCAACCUGGGAACGGCAUCCGGAACUGGCAAGCUAGAGUGCAGGAGAGGAAGGUAGAAUUCCCGGUGUAGCGGUGAAAUGCGUAGAGAUCGGGAGGAAUACCAGUGGCGAAGGCGGCCUUCUGGACUGACACUGACACUGAGGUGCGAAAGCGUGGGUAGCAAACAGGAUUAGAUACCCCGGUAGUC
rnacentral:rRNA from 1 species